UAAUAUAUCGGAACGUGCCCUGGAGUGGGGGAUAACGCAGCGAAAGUUGCGCUAAUACCGCAUACGAUCUAAGGAUGAAAGCGGGGGAUUCGCAAGAACCUCGUGCUCCUGGAGCGGCCGAUAUCUGAUUAGCUAGUUGGUGGGGUAAAGGCCUACCAAGGCAUCGAUCAGUAGCUGGUCUGAGAGGACGACCAGCCACACUGGAACUGAGACACGGUCCAGACUCCUACGGGAGGCAGCAGUGGGGAAUUUUGGACAAUGGGCGCAAGCCUGAUCCAGCAAUGCCGCGUGAGUGAAGAAGGCCUUCGGGUUGUAAAGCUCUUUUGUCAGGGAAGAAACGGUGUGGGCUAAUAUCCCGCACUAAUGGACGGUACCUGAAGAAUAAGCACCGGCUAACUACGUGCCAGCAGCCGCGGUAAUACGUAGGGUGCAAGCGUUAAUCGGAAUUACUGGGCGUAAAGCGUGCGCAGGCGGUUUUGUAAGUCUGUCGUGAAAUCCCCGGGCUCAACCUGGGAAUUGCGAUGGAGACUGCAAGGCUAGAAUCUGGCAGAGGGGGGUAGAAUUCCACGUGUAGCAGUGAAAUGCGUAGAGAUGUGGAGGAACACCGAUGGCGAAGGCAGCCCCCUGGGUCAAGAUUGACGCUCAUGCACGAAAGCGUGGGGAGCAAACAGGAUUAGAUACCCUGGUAGUCCACGCCCUAAACGAUGUCUACUAGUUGUCGGGUUUUAAUUAACUUGGUAACGCAGCUAACGCGUGAAGUAGACCGCCUGGGGAGUACGGUCGCAAGAUUAAAACUCAAAGGAAUUGACGGGGACCCGCACAAGCGGUGGAUGAUGUGGAUUAAUUCGAUGCAACGCGAAAAACCUUACCUACCCUUGACAUGUACGGAAGCCACGAGAGAUCGAGGCGUGCUCGAAAGAGAGCCGUAACACAGGUGCUGCAUGGCUGUCGUCAGCUCGUGUCGUGAGAUGUUGGGUUAAGUCCCGCAACGAGCGCAACCCUUGUCAUUAGUUGCUACGAAAGAGCACUCUAAUGAGACUGCCGGUGACAAACCGGAGGAAGGUGGGGAUGACGUCAAGUCCUCAUGGCCCUUAUGGGUAGGGCUUCACACGUCAUACAAUGGUACAUACAGAGGGCCGCCAACCCGCGAGGGGGAGCUAAUCCCAGAAAGUGUAUCGUAGUCCGGAUUGUAGUCUGCAACUCGACUACAUGAAGUUGGAAUCGCUAGUAAUCGCGGAUCAGCAUGUCGCGGUGUGAUAUACGCCCGGGUCUUGUACACACCGCC
rnacentral:rRNA from 1 species